rnacentral:rRNA from 1 species
AGAGUUUGAUCAUGGCUCAGAACGUACGCUGGCGGCACGCCUAACACAUGCAAGUCGAACGAAGUAGCAAUACUUAGUGGCAGACGGGUGAGUAACAUGUGGGUAUCUACCCUUUGGCCUGGAAUAACACGAGGAAACUUGUGCUAAUACCGGAUAAGUCUUUACGGAGAAAGCUUUAUGCACCAUUGGAUGAGCCUGCACUUGAUUAGUUUGUUGGUGGGGUAAUGGCCUACCAAGACUGUGAUCAAUAGCUGAUUUGAGAGGAUGAUCAGCCACAUUGGGACUGAGACACGGCCCAAACUCCUACGGGAGGCAGCAGUGGGGAAUCUUGCACAAUGGAGGAAACUCUGAUGCAGCGAUGCCGCGUGUGUGAAGAAGGCCCUUGGGUUGUAAAGCUCUUUCGUCGGGGAAGAAAAUGACUGUACCCGAAUAAGAAGGUCCGGCUAACUUCGUGCCAGCCGCCGCGGUAAUAC